rnacentral:rRNA from 1 species
UCCUACGGGAGGCAGCAGCUAAGAAUCUUCCGCAAUGGGCGAAAGCCUGACGGAGCGAUGCCGCGUGAACGACGAAGGCAGGAAUGUUGUAAAGUUCUUUUCUCGGUGAGGAAUAAGGUUAAGAGUGGACUGCUUGACUGAUGACGUUAGCCAAGGAAUAAGCCCCGGCCAAUUACGUGCCAGCAGCCGCGGUAACACGUAAGGGGCAGGCGUUGUUCGGAAUUAUUGGGCGUAAAGGGCGCGUAGGCGGAUAUAUAAGCCUGGUGUAAAAGGCUUCGGCUCAACCGGAGUUAGGCGCUGGGAACUGUAUGUCUAGAGUACAGGAGGGGGAGUUGGAAUUCCUGGUGUAGGGGUGAAAUCUGUAGAUAUCAGGAAGAACACCGGUGGCGAAGGCGAACUCCUGGCCUGUUACUGACGCUGAGGCGCGAAAGCGUGGGGAGCGAACAGGAUUAGAUACCCCGGUA